rnacentral:sRNA from 1 species
GAAGAUGUCGAGGAGUAUGAGGACCUGACAGAGAUCAUGUCCAAUGUACAGCUCAACAGCAACUUCUUGGCCUUAGCUCGGGAGCUGGACAUCAUGGAGCCCAAGGUGCCUGAUGACAUCUACAAAACCCACCUAGAGAACAACAGGUUUGGGGGCAGUGGCUCUCAGGUGGACUCUGCCCGCAUGAACCUGGCCUCCUCUUUUGUGAAUGGCUUUGUGAAUGCAGCUUUUGGCCAAGACAAGCUGCUAACAGAUGAUGGCAACAAAUGGCUUUACAAGAACAAGGACCACGGAAUGUUGAGUGCAGCUGCAUCUCUUGGGAUGAUUCUGCUGUGGGAUGUGGAUGGUGGCCUCACCCAGAUUGACAAGUACCUGUACUCCUCUGAGGACUACAUUAAGGUUGGUCUGCAUACAGCCUGCUCAUGGGGACUUCCCCGUUCCAUAUUCUAGUGCCUAGCAGUGCCUUUCUUUCACUGAUGAGGUCUGCCCAGUUUUUAACUCUAGUUAAUAAGGGUGCUGCAGUGAGGCCCAUGUUGCAUCCUUUGUGGUGAGGAAGAUAGAGUAU